rnacentral:rRNA from 1 species
ACGGAAGGCAGCAGUGGGGAAUAUUGCACAAUGGGGGAAACCCUGAUGCAGCAACGCCGCGUGAAGGAUGAAGGUUUUCGGAUUGUAAACUUCUUUGGCAGGGGACGAUAAUGACGGUACCCUGAGAACAAGCCACGGCUAACUACGUGCCAGCAGCCGCGGUAAUACGUAGGUGGCGAGCGUUGUCCGGAUUUACUGGGUGUAAAGGGCGAGUAGGCGGGAAUGCAAGUCCGAUGUGAAAUACCGAGGCUUAACCUCGGAGCUGCAUUUGAAACUGCAUUUCUUGAGUGAUGGAGAGGCAGGCGGAAUUCCCGGUGUAGCGGUGAAAUGCAUAGAGAUCGGGAGGAACACCAGUGGCGAAGGCGGCCUGCUGGACAUUAACUGACGCUGAGGCGCGAAAGUGUGGGGAGCAAACAGGAUUAGAUACCCUGGUA